UACGGAGGGUGCAAGCGUUAUCCGGAUUCACUGGGUUUAAAGGGUGCGUAGGAGGGCAGGUAAGUCAGUGGUGAAAUCCCCGAGCUUAACUUGGGAACUGCCGUUGAUACUAUCUGUCUUGAAUGUUGUGGAGGUGAGCGGAAUAUGUCAUGUAGCGGUGAAAUGCUUAGAUAUGACAUAGAACACCAAUUGCGAGGGCAGCUCGCUACACAAUUAUUGACUCUGAUGCACGAAAGCGUGGGGAUCAAACAGG
rnacentral:rRNA from 1 species